GAUGAACGCUGGCGGCGUGCCUAAUACAUGCAAGUCGAGCGAACGGACGAGAAGCUUGCCUCUCUGAUGUUAGCGGCGGACGGGUGAGUAACACGUGGAUAACCUACCUAUAAGACUGGGAUAACUUCGGGAAACCGGAGCUAAUACCGGAUAAUAUUUUGAACCGCAUGGUUCAAAAGUGAAAGACGGUCUUGCUGUCACUUAUAGAUGGAUCCGCGCUGCAUUAGCUAGUUGGUAAGGUAACGGCUUACCAAGGCAACGAUGCAUAGCCGACCUGAGAGGGUGAUCGGCCACACUGGAACUGAGACACGGUCCAGACUCCUACGGGAGGCAGCAGUAGGGAAUCUUCCGCAAUGGGCGAAAGCCUGACGGAGCAACGCCGCGUGAGUGAUGAAGGUCUUCGGAUCGUAAAACUCUGUUAUUAGGGAAGAACAUAUGUGUAAGUAACUGUGCACAUCUUGACGGUACCUAAGCAGAAAGCCACGGCUAACUACGU
rnacentral:rRNA from 1 species